rnacentral:rRNA from 1 species
UACGAACCGUGCGAACGUUGUUCGGAUUCACUGGGCUUAAAGGGCGCGUAGGCGGACUCGCAAGUCUGUGGUGAAAGCCCCCAGCUCAACUGGGGAAGUGCCGUGGAUACUGCAAGUCUGGAGGAGGGUAGGGGCAUCUGGAACGCUGGGUGGAGCGGUGAAAUGCGUUGAUAUCCAGCGGAACUCCGGUGGCGAAGGCGAGGUGCUGGACCCUUUCUGACGCUGAGUGCGCGAAAGCCAGGGGAGCAUACGGG